rnacentral:tRNA from 1 species
GCCCCUAUAGCUCAGUUGGACAGAGCGCAAGUUUGCGGAACUUGAGGUCAGAGGUUCGAAUCCUCUUAGGGGUGCCA